CGGGAGUUAGUAGAGUGGCGCACGGGUGAGUAACGCGUGGGAACCUGCCAAGCAGUGGGGAAUAACCUUUGGAAACGAAGGCUAAUACCGCAUACGCCCUUCGGGGGAAAGAUUUAUCGCUGUUUGAUGGUCCCGCGUCUGAUUAGCUAGUUGGUAGGGUAAUGGCUUACCAAGGCGACGAUCAGUAGCUGGUCUGAGAGGAUGAUCAGCCACACUGGAACUGAGACACGGUCCAG
rnacentral:rRNA from 1 species